rnacentral:ncRNA from 1 species
GUAAGAUUGAUUCUGUCUUGUUAAGUUAAUUAUUUGAUAAUAUUAAAUAUAAAUUUUUGUGUGGUGUUAAUUUGUCUAAAUGAUAAUUUUUAAUUUACUUGUAGUUUUUAUUUUUGAUUGUUUAUGUAAACAUAGAUUCAGUUAAUUUAUUUAGAGCUGUUAAAGGUUGUGCCAGCAUACGCGGUUAUACAGCCAGUUCAAGUUAAUUUUUUUUGGUAUUUAUUUAUUUUUAUAUUUGAAGGUUAAUUUAUUUUUAUAAGGUGAAAUUUUUAAUUUUAUUACAUAACUUUUGGUUUAAGAAUAUAAGAAAUUUGGAUUUUAGACUAGGAUUAGAUACCCUAUUAUUCUAAAUGUAAAAUGUUGACCAUAGUAUUAUUAGUUAUGAUCUUUAAAUUAAAAGGAUUUGGCGGUAAUUUAGUCUUUUCAGAUGAACCUGUUCUGUAAUUGAUAAUCCACGUUGGAUUUUACUUUGAUUAUUUGUUUGUAUAUCUCUGUCAUUGAGUGUUUUAUUAGAAUAUUUUCUUUAAUUAUUGAUUUAAUUAAUGUCAGGUCAAGGUGCAGCUAUAUCAAAGGUUGAAAUGGGUUACAUUUAAUGUUUAUUAAUUGGAGUAUAUUAUUGUAAUUUAUAUAUGAAAUAGGAUUUGAAGGUAAUUUUUAUUAUUUAAUAGAAAUGAUUUUAGCUCUAAAUUAUGUACACAUCGCCCGUCGUUCUCAUUAUUAAGGUGAG